UCGGUUUAAUAAACAACAAAAUAUAUAUACUUAUAUAGUUACUAUAGUCAUACAAUUAUUUGUAAAGAAAUUAUACUUUUGUCUAUCAUAUACGACAAAUAUCAAUUACUAUAUGCAUUAUCCAGUAGCAAAAUGUGCAAGUAAAGAUAGCAGCCAUGCAAUGACGGAUGCGUCAUUUAUAGAGAUGAAAGAACUAAGGUCUAAGCUGCAGAAUUACUAAUUUUACUUCAUAAUAUAUACGAGUUAUCAAAAUUUGUAUCGUGAAGUACUAGAACUAGGGAACACACCUGAGUAUACAAUGUUUCUGG
rnacentral:lncRNA from 1 species